GCCUUGCUUGUGACUUCUGCUUCUAACAGGGGGUCAGCAGAGAGGAAUUUGUGAUGAGGUGAAGAAUGUGAUUAAUGUUUUAUUCGUGAUUCUUCCAAAGUCUCUGCAUGAGUGGGAAGUUCAGCUCCCUCUCCUUAUCUGCCUGCUCAUUCUCCCAAGAGCCCGACCAUAGCAAUGUACGUACUUUACACACAUCAGCAUCCUGUCUGCAGGGCACGGACCCGGGGCAGCAGGUUGGGGCUGGAUGUAAGUAUUCCACAGCUCUGAUCCAGCAUUUAUCUCCUGGGUAGGAAACAACUCCCACGAGGUGCUGUUGUUUCAAAAGGAAGCAAUGUGGAUCGAAGCACAUUGCACUCUGCUUGGGGGACUGGCUUGCAGCAGAAGAGCUUUCUCUGGGUUGGUGUGACAGGACAUCUGAGCCCAGACAGGAUGGAUCCAUCCAUGACCCAGUCCAACCUUCAGCUUCUCCCAAGGUGCCUGCAAGGAGGCCACACAAGUCCUGUACAGGAGGGUGCUGCAGAACCCUCCAGCUGCAGUCCUGAGCUGGUGGUGUUGCUCCUUGCUGUGGAUUUGUCCCAUCUGACGUCCUGGAGAAGAAGGUACUUUCAGGGU
rnacentral:lncRNA from 13 species